AACCCGUAUACAAAACGAUACGAAUAACAUAAGGAAAUAAUAAAACCAUCCUUCGUGACAAACCGAAAUUCCUCCACAUGACAACUAGCAGCUUCCGGACUCCUCCUUCGCGUCAUCGGCAAUCCCCUUGCCAUAGUCAUCGGCAGACCCUUUUACUUGGUCAUCGGCACCAUAUUACUGUCUGAGGACUUAGUCACAUUCAACCUUUCCCUCAUCGGCAACCAUCCUUACCAGCAACCCGCAUCGUACUGCCACCCUGUCCUGCCAUCCUGGACACGUGCCCAAAAAUGGUGUCAACAACGACCUUGGUGUUUCAAGCAUCGAAUGCACAAUCAAUGGAUACUCUUUUCAGAAGACACUCUAUGACACCGGAUCUGACGACAACAUAAUGACCACAGUCACUUAUCAGCUCCUGCAUGGAACCAUGCCCCUACAACAAAAAUAUAUUCAGCUCCAGAUGAUUUUCAGGUCAUUGAUAUGGGAGAAGACGAGUAUGAUCCACCCACCAUCUUUGGAAGACCGUUCCUCAACACUAUCAAAGCAAUCAUCUACAUUGGAACCGGAGAAGUCCACAUGUACUUCCUCUCUGAGAAGGUACGCAGCUAUUUUACUGACCCUAACUAUAUAGUUGAAGACUCUAAGCUGGUCAGGACAAGAAGACGACGCAACCGCAACCAGAGGAGGUAAAUCAUCAAGAACGGAUGGGUAGACUACGAAGGAGAAGUGAUAAGGACUGAAGACAUACAGCUUGAACAGAACUGUCCUGAGGAGACCGUAGCACCGAGUCAGGUGUGGAGAGAGAAGAUAGUUAUACACGAAGAAGAGGCGCCGCCAGAAUCACCGACUACGCCACCUAGCGAAUCCCAGGACGACUGAAAACACAAGGAGUCCCGUUCGGAGGACAUAAAAACACCGAACGCCUUGCCAAAAGGUAAACUUGGUAGUUAUCAUUUUUCUUUCAAUUAUUCAAUUAUAGUUUGCUUAGUUAAUCAGGUUCAUGCUAUCUUAAAAAGAAAAUAAAAAUAUUAAAAAAAGAAAGCCCCAUGUGAGUAGACUUGUGGUUUAAAAACCCAUAGGUAUACUGACUGUGGUGGCAUAAAAUAAAUAUGUUUUCAUCUUAUAAUAAAAAUAUAAAUAAUAGGUGCAUGAUCCUACUAAAUAAAAUUUAUUAGGAGAAAGCUCAAUAUGAUAAAGGCAAAGAGAUUUUAUGCUAACACUUAACUAGUUCCACAAAGCUUUGUUGUCUAUUUGAGUUCCACAGAAUUCGAGGAUCAAAGAAGACUAAGGACAUCUUAAUCGCUGUCAGGGUGCUGCCGACUUUCAAAUACACCUCCACCACCUGCUAGCUACAUCACAAGAAAUUACGUCAAAAUCCAGCUUGGAAGAGAGCACCCCCAUUUAUCCAGCUAAGUGUUUCUACUCGCGUUUAUACUUUACUCAAAAUAAUAGAAAGAUGCAUAAUCAUAAAAACCUAAAUAAAGAUUUUGUACUUUUAUAUAUAUAUCUUUGCUUAGUUUGCUAAAUAAAUAAAUAAAGUUUGCUAUGAACCCUCAUGAUAAGCUCUCACAUGGAAAUGAUGAAUAGUUGCUCUACCAUGACUAGUUCUUAAAAUUGAAAUCUCUCUCAAGUUUAGGCAUGACUGUUAUGAAUUAAUAUUUGCUCUAAAUCUGAACUUGUGGGAAGAGUACUUGAUCUAAAGUCUAAGUCGUUAACGGAUAUGAUAUGGGAAGGUUGAGCUGCUGUUUAUCUGUUCCUAGAGAUGCUAGAAUUCUGGAGAAUUUUAUCUUUGAAAAAUCUUUAAAAUAACAUAUGAUGAGUUCCUGUAUGAUGAGAGUUUAAAAUCCUACCACAGCCAUAUAUACAUGCUUAUUAGACUUUGAGCCACACAUUUACUUUUUACUGCUUAUGAGCAUUGAGUGUGGUCAAGCUGUGUAGACCCUUAGGAGCUUGUCAUGUGGUUAAAAUCAAGAUUCACUUGCACGUUCACUCAUACAUGCUACUUCUUCUCCGGAAGUGCUAUCCACAUAUAUCCACUCAUUUCCAUCUCCAGAACCACCCAAAAACAUUCUACACCUAAUCCGGGAAAGAAUGGCCAAAAAUAUUUCAGUUUUUCCCUGUGGAAUAAAUGCUCGAGUUAUCUUGGUUACUACCACUUGCUAUAUUAUUUCAGAAGAUGAGUGUUUUAAAAAAAGAAAGAAAAGAAAAAGAGGAAAAAAUACGAGGAAAUAAAAAGGGGCAAGUGCCCGGAACCUCGAAAGAAAAGAAAAAGUGAGACGAGAGGUAAAAAUGGACAAGUGUCCGACAGUAGAAUUAGGGGUACAAGAUACCCACCUGAGAGAAAAGAAAAAGAAAAUAUAGAGCAUCUCAUUCUCCCCAAAAAGCUUCAAAGUGCAAGAAAGGUAUGUAUCCCCUUAAAAGAGCAAAAGUAGAAUUAGAUUUUCACCAUUGUUAUCUCCAUCAUCACCAUACACCAUCCACUCGCCACACAUGCACAUCUUGAUUUGACUUAUUGACUUGUUUCUCUGGAUCCAUGGUUUGACUAUGCAAUAAAUGUCUUGUAAGUAUGUAUUAGCUGUCUCCCACCUAUGAGCUCCAGAUAUCAAAACCUUAUUAGAAUAGGGUGAGAGAGAAGGCAAUAUCACUAUGCCUUAUACCAAAAAUACCACAUACUUUGAGAGAAGGCAUAUACCAUUACUGCCUAGGUAAGGAUCCAAAAAUACCACAAAAGAGAGAUCUAAGGGAGUCAUACAUGGAAUCUCUGAGUUUUAUUUGAAAAUCUGCAAAAAAACUCCAGAGCUAUAGUUAAUCAAAGAACAAGAGACAUGGCGCUUAACUUGACCGUUCUAUCUUUUAACUGCUCAAGACACAAGUGACGGUUGCAAGCCCCAUGGUGAAAGGUAAAAUGAGUAAGUUUUAAGUCUUAACAGUUUACUCUAACUCAGAGAUAAGAUCUUACUUUUAAGGCAUGAAACCACUGCAGAAACUCUUGAGUUCAUCCUUGCUCAGGGACGAGCAAGAGGUAAGCUUGGGGGAGUUGUUGACGGUCCUUAAGUACCAAAUAUAAUCAUCAAAUAAAUAAAGAAAAGGAUCCAAAUGCGACCAACACCCAGACUUAGGGUUUUAUCUGAUAUAAUUCCACGAGUUUUGGUGUUUGUCUAUUUCUGCAGGGGGUUAUCAGGAAAUAUGGAAGAAAGGCCCACACGUCGGGAUUACAUAGAGAUAUUAACGUGCCGCGCAAUUAUCUUACAUCUAGAAGACUCUAGAAGCCACGGGAAGGAAGCAGAGGCCGAACAGGGCCAGGCACUGGGCGCCCGCCUAGUUGACCUAGGCGCCCGCCCCCUGUAGAGUUGGAUCAAGACUCUCUUUCGGGACUAAUCUCCACCGACCUAAAGGAUCAAGGAUAACCGUCCAAUCAAUGUCGGUUUGAUCCAAUGGCUCACGUUCACUUGAGAGGACUAUAAAACCAGACCGCCUGGCCCCUGGAGGAGACAAGUUCAUCAUAGAGUUGAGAGGUGCCCUCGAAGGAAUACCUCUCCUCUAAAUAAAAUUUCUUUUAGGCUUAGCAUCCAAUGUGAGUAGAAUUAGAUCUUCUAGUUUCUACUAGAUUGAGAGAGAUAGAGUGGAGGUG
rnacentral:lncRNA from 1 species